UCGCGUCAGUUAUGGGAUUCCCAUCUGAUGAGAAGCUGAUCAAGGAGAGCGAAGAGAAGCUCUCAGCUGUGCUCGAUGUCUACGAGGCACAUCUCUCAAAGAGCAAGUACUUGGCCGGUGACUUCGUGAGCUUGGCUGACUUGGCUCACCUCCCGUUUACUGAUUACUUGGUCGGUCCGAUCGGGAAGGCUUACAUGAUCAAAGAUAGGAAGCACGUGAGCGCGUGGUGGGACAGUAUUAGCAGCCGUCCUGCGUGGAAGGAGACUCUUGAGAAGUAUUCAUUCCCCGCUUAAGAACAUGAUGUUCUUUGUUGUUGUUGUUGUUUGUGUGUUUAUGUGAGGUUUAAUAAUAAUGUGGAAAUGUAUGCUUCUUCUUAUAUUAUGUUACCUCUACUCUGUUUCGUUUUGUAACUCGGAACUCUUUGUAUGGUUGAGUGAGGCUUUUAAUUUGAGGAACUUAAUUAUCACCCUUCCAUCAAGGAUCAUUAUAAAGGUUUGCAAAAUCUUGAAGAAAUAGACAUCAUUCCUAGGCUAUGGUUACAAUACCUCUUCCUAUGUGUAAAUUUAACAGAAUUGAACAUAGAUAUUCGAUAUCUAGUAGUGUUGAUGUAAUGUUGAAGGUUAAGAUUGUUGUGCUUAUUGGGAUUACUAUUGAUGAUCGCAUUAUCUCCUUCAAAUUCGACAACACGGUAUCCUAGAGAUCAGUAUUCAUAGCUGAUAGUGGUACAGAACAUUACACUUCUUCUGACGUAUGAUUUCCCUCAAAUCUUCCCAUUACACAAUCCAUAAAUGUUUCACUGCUUUUUCUUACUACCCAUCAUAGAUUAGUGUCUUUGUCACCUUGAAAAUGCGAUGCAUCAUUAUUAUAUUUUAGCCAACCACUUGAAGAUCUCUUCUAUUUAACUUACUUUGCACCCUGUCGUUUCUCAGCACAUUGUAUUUCUUUCUAGAACUCUCACUCAUAAACAUUUACCUCUUAGUUCUAGAAAAAAAAAAAAACAUUUGACCUGUAGUGGUAAAUGCAACCGUUUGGAACUUUGCGUAAGCAUUUUGUACCGGUUUGAGUCAUUUGAGUUUUGACGAGUAGGCCACUCACAUUGCCCCACAUAAAUAAAACCAGCGACAUUCAGAGAACCUUUACUUUGAUAGGUUCAUCAGGCUUUAUUGGUGCAUUGAUCAACAUAAAGCAUUAUUAUUAAGUAUAAACUCUAUUAUGAGUGCACCAAAAAAAACUCUAUUAUGCAUACACUUUAAUCACUAACUUUUGUUUUAUCCAUCUAAUAAUUUUGUUUAAAGUAACAUAGUCUGCCAGAAUAUGAUUAACAAAAUAAUUUGACUCAUUUCAUCACGUUUUGUUGAUACUUUCUUGCCCCCACCAACCUAAUUUUAACCUGCCAAGAAAUGGCUCUGUUUAGUCUCAGAUCAUUAUUUCAUUGCAUUAUGGUUCUAAAAAUGAGAAUCAAUAUCGCAUCUUAUUAGAAUAAACUGGGAAUUUUUUUCAGUUCAAAUGCUUUUCAAUUUCUUUUAAUCCAAAAAAAAUGUUCUUGAAACAUUUUAAAAAUCCAAAUUAUUAUUAUUUAAAAAAAUCUUAUAGUCUACCUUUUUUAGAUCUAAAUCUUAAGUUUAAGUUACCUCUUUGAUAAAAAUAUAUUUUGAUCAUUUUAGCCUUAUGUUAUAUUUGUGAUAAAUAAAUUUAAAGGGUAUCUUUGAAUAUUUCUAUAGAGAAAAUUAAAAGUAAUAUUAAUGACAAAAAUGUAAUCAAGUGUAGUUUCAUAAUAGUGACUAAUAAUCUCUCUUUUUUUUUUGAUUUUUCAAUUUUUUUUUAUUCUUUUUCCACCGCGAAAGCAACGGAAACGCAACGCCACGUUUCGCCACGAGUCGCAAUAUCUCUCUCCCCACCCGUCUAGCAUCCUCUCUCUCUAUAAAACGGCGUCGUGAGCACCGUAAAAUUCAUCACUUAAACAAGCCAACUGUGACCGCAAGCUUAGACAAAGAAACAGAGAAACAGAAAGAUGGUGCUAAAGGUGUACGGACCUCACUUUGCUUCACCAAAGCGAGCUCUGGUAACGCUCAUCGAGAAGGGCGUCGCCUUCGAGACCGUCCCCGUCGAUCUCAUGAAAGGAGAACACAAGCAGCCUGCUUAUCUCGCCUUACAGGUUUCCUUCCUCGAUCUCCCUCUGCUUCUUUCUUUCCUUUUUCAAGAUUCUCACCAUCUUCUUUGUUUCUUCCCAUGCAGCCCUUCGGUACCGUCCCUGCUGUUGUCGACGGCGACUACAAAAUCUUCGGUACGCCUUCUUUCAAGAAAACCACAACACAUCUCACUUUUCUUACAGAUCAAACAUAGUUCUGUGUUCUUGUCUUGUUAUUCUUUUAUGUUUCUGUGGAGAUGUAAAUAAUUUUUUUUUUUUUUGAAAUUUUGACAGAGUCACGUGCCGUCAUGAGGUACGUAGCUGAGAAGUACAGGUCACAAGGACCUGACCUUUUGGGGAAAACCGUGGAAGAAAGAGGACAAGUUGAGCAGUGGCUAGACGUGGAGGCGACCACUUACCACCCACCGCUACUUAACCUGACACUUCACAUAAUGUUCGCGUCAGUUAUGGGAUUCCCAUCUGAUGAGAAGCUGAUCAAGGAGAGCGAAGAGAAGCUCUCAGCUGUGCUCGAUGUCUACGAGGCACAUCUCUCAAAGAGCAAGUACUUGGCCGGUGACUUCGUGAGCUUGGCUGACUUGGCUCACCUCCCGUUUACUGAUUACUUGGUCGGUCCGAUCGGGAAGGCUUACAUGAUCAAAGAUAGGAAGCACGUGAGCGCGUGGUGGGACAGUAUUAGCAGCCGUCCUGCGUGGAAGGAGACUCUUGAGAAGUAUUCAUUCCCCGCUUAAGAAC
rnacentral:lncRNA from 1 species